UACGUAGGGGGCAAGCGUUGUCCGGAAUCAUUGGGCGUAAAGAGCGUGUAGGCGGCUCGAUUAGUCUGCUGUGAAAGUCCAGGGCUCAACCCUGGAAUGCCGGUGGAUACUGUCGAGCUAGAGUCCGGAAGGGGCGAGUGGAAUUCCUGGUGUAGCGGUGAAAUGCGCAGAUAUCAGGAGGAACACCGAUGGCGAAGGCAGCUCGCUGGGACGUGACUGACGCUGAGACGCGAAAGCGUGGGGAGCAAACAGG
rnacentral:rRNA from 1 species